AUCCCAGCUAAAAUUCCCUUUUGGUUAUCCGAUUCAUGGGAGGCAAACAUUUACAAUGGAGAUUUUGCUGAGAGCACGUUUUUUUUUUUUUUGGGUCUUUCUGGAGGUGUUUUACUUGUGUCUUUCCAUACACGG